rnacentral:rRNA from 1 species
UGAGGAAUAUUGGUCAAUGGGGCGAGAGCCUGAACCAGCCAAGUAGCGUGAAGGAUGACUGCCCUAUGGGUUGUAAACUUCUUUUAUAAAGGAAUAAAGUCGGGUAUGGAUACCCGUUUGCAUGUACUUUAUGAAUAAGGAUCGGCUAACUCCGUGCC